ACAUACGACCAUUGACUCGAGAGAACAGGGCUUCCCGUCCGCUCAGCCAUACUUAAGCUCGAGGUCGGGCGGCUAGUAGUUGGGUGGGUGACCACCAGCGAAUCCCGCCUGUUGUAUGUA
rnacentral:rRNA from 1 species